UGUGUCUGAUCCACUUCCCUGUGCAGGUGUGUCAGUGUUUCCUAAACCGUUUGUCCUCACAAAUACAGACAAACCUCCUCAUCUGAAGGUGUUUUUGAAAGCCUCUAUCUUCAGUGACUUUAAAGUUGUUUACGUGUGGACGAAGAGAAGACCUACAUUUUUAAAACGCCCUCCUACGUGUGGACUCAGUGAGUGAGUCCCCGUAGGUGCUGGACAGAGACGGGUGGAAAUAUUCAACACAAUGACUCGUGGACACAAAGAGGAGUCCGGGUUUACACCACAGUGGGCGAGCUGACAGCGGCUUGUAUAAGAGGGUUCUGUUCCAGCUGUGGGAUCCUGGAGUCGGCCCGGCCAAACCCAGGCUGGAUGUAAUUGUUGGUGCUGCUCGGCCUCCCUGCCGUCAGCCUGAGUGUGAGGACGCCUGAGUCCAGAGGAGGAUUAUAUUUAUCUCCUGGGUGUGAACGCUACACAUCCACAAACACAUCCACAGGACGAGCGGGACGCCACAGCUCUCAGUCUCUGGGCUUUACUCUCUGAGCCUGUUAGAAAUGUUCUUUAAUGUUACCUGAUGGUCGAAUGAAGGAGGGCUGAAUACUAAAAUAGAGCUCUAGCUAACGUACCUGACUUGUUUUGUAAGAUUAAUGUUAAUAAAUAACUUUAUUUGCAUGUCUAGGUUGCUCUGGACAACAACCGAUGCUGCCCAUAGGAAAAUAAAUUCAGAGAGGAGAU